rnacentral:rRNA from 1 species
UUUGAUCCUGGCUCAGGAUGAACGCUGGCGGCGUGCCUAAUACAUGCAAGUCGAACGAGAAAGUCACCUUCGGGUGAUGAGUAAAGUGGCGCACGGGUGAGUAACACGUAGAUGACCUGCCCCGGAGAGGGGGACAACCAUUGGAAACGAUGGCUAAUACCCCAUAAGCCCACAGUGCUUAGAAAGCAGUGGGAAAAGUUCCGGCGCUCUGGGAGGGGUCUGCGGCCCAUCAGCUAGUUGGUAGGGUAACGGCCUACCAAGGCGAAGACGGGUAGGGGGCCUGAGAGGGUGGUCCCCCACACGGGAACUGAGACACGGUCCCGACUCCUACGGGAGGCAGCAGUAAGGAAUAUUGCGCAAUGGGCGAAAGCCUGACGCAGCAACGCCGCGUGCCCGAUGAAGGCCUUCGGGUUGUAAAGGGCUUUUCUGGCUGAAGAGACAAAGGACAGUAGGCCAGGAAUAAGUGUCGGCUAACUACGUGCCAGCAGCCGCGGUAAAACGUAGGACGCAAGCGUUAUCCGGAUUUACUGGGCGUAAAGCGUGGGCAGGUGGCAGGCCAAGUCGGAUGUGAAAGCUCCUGGCUCAACUGGGAGAGGCCAUUCGAGACUGGUCAGCUGGAGGGCAGUAGAGGGGCGUGGAAUUCCGGGUGGAGUGGUGAAAUGCGUAGAGAUCCGGAGGAACACCAGAAGCGAAGGCGGCGCCCUGGGCUGCACCUGACACUGAGCCACGAAGGCGUGGGUAGCAAACGGGAUUAGAAACCCCGGUAGUCCACGCGGUAAACGAUGUCAACUAGGUGUUGGUGGUGUAAAAGCCAUCAGUGCCGAAGCUAACGCGAUAAGUUGACCGCCUGGGGAGUACGGCCGCAAGGCUAAACUCAAUGAAUUGACGG